rnacentral:tRNA from 1 species
GUCAUCGUGGCCUAGUGGUUAAGGCGACAGACUAGAAAUCUGUUGGGCUCUGCCCGCACAGGUUCGAGUCCUGUCGGCGACG